rnacentral:rRNA from 1 species
GAUUUCUGGUUUAGUGCGCUUGGCCCGCCACGGUUUCGUGUGUGAGUGCCGAUGCGCGCUUACCAUCCUUCUGGAGAACGUUCCUGCCCUUUACUGGGUUGGGUUCGCAAUCCAGAACUUUUACUUUGAAAAAAUUAGAGUGUUUAAAGCAGGCUUGUGCUAUGAAUACAUUAGCAUGGAAUAAUGAUUUAGGACUUGAGUCUUAUUUUGUUGGUUUCCAGGACUGAAGUAAUGAUUGAUAGGGAUAGUUGGGGGUGCUAGUAUUCAGCGGCCAGAGGUGAAAUUCUUGGAUUCGCUGAAGACUAACUUAUGCGAAAGCAUU